UACGGGGGGUGCGAGCGUUGUCCGGAAUCACUGGGCGUAAAGGGCGCGUAGGUGGCCUGAUAAGGGUGUGGUGAAAGUCCGGGGCUCAACCCCGGAUCGGCCGUGCCGACUGUUAGGCUAGAGUACUGUAGGGGCAGGCGGAAUUCCGGGUGUAGCGGUGGAAUGCGUAGAGAUCCGGAGGAAGACCGGUGGCGAAGGCGGCCUGCUGGGCAGUUACUGACGCUGAGGCGCGAAAGCGUGGGUAGCAAACAGG
rnacentral:rRNA from 1 species